UAUUUUGUGGUUUAGUUGGUUAAAGCGCCGGACUUACGAAUACAGAGUGGUGGGUUCGAAUCCCACCAGAACGU
rnacentral:tRNA from 1 species